rnacentral:rRNA from 1 species
CCAAUAGCGUAUAUUAAAGUUGUUGCAGUUAAAAAGCUCGUAGUUGAAUUUCGGGGUUAGUAGGUUGGUCAUGCCUCUGGUAUGUACUGGUCUCACUGAUUCCUCCUUCCUUAUGAACCGUAAUGCCAUUAAUUUGGUGUUGCGGGGAAUUUGGACUGUUACUUUGAAAAAAUUAGAGUGUUUAAAGCAAGCUAACGCUU